AGCGAAUUCCCAGAACAUAGACUAAGGGUGCCUUCCAACAAGCAACACAGUGCGACACAGUGAUCGUGUCAUCUUUGUUUAACAUUGACAA